rnacentral:rRNA from 1 species
AGCGAACGCUGGCGGCAGGCCUAACACAUGCAAGUCGAGCGCCCCGCAAGGGGAGCGGCAGACGGGAGAGUAACACGUGGGAACGUACCCUUCAGUUCGGAACAACCCAGGGAAACUUGGGCUAAUACCGGAUACGUCCGAAAGGAGAAAGAUUUAUCACUGAAGGAUCGGCCCGCGUCUGAUUAGCUAGUUGGUGGGGUAACGGCCCACCAAGGCGACGAUCAGUAGCUGGUCUGAGAGGAUGAUCAGCCUCACUGGGACUGAGACACGGCCCAGACUCCUACGGGAGGCAGCAGUGGGGAAUAUUGGACAAUGGGCGCAAGCCUGAUCCAGCCAUGCCGCGUGGAUGAUGAAGGCCCUAGGGUUGUAAAGUCCUUUCGGCGGGGAAGAUAAUGACGGUACCCGCAGAAGAAGCCCCGGCUAACUUCGUGCCAGCCGCCGCCGUAA